ACGAACGCUGGCGGCGUGGAUAAGACAUGCAAGUCGAACGAGAGAAUUGCUAGCUUGCUAAUAAUUCUCUAGUGGCGCACGGGUGAGUAACACGUGAGUAACCUGCCCCCGAGAGCGGGAUAGCCCUGGGAAACUGGGAUUAAUACCGCAUAGUAUCGAAAGAUUAAAGCAGCAAUGCGCUUGGGGAUGGGCUCGCGGCCUAUUAGUUAGUUGGUGAGGUAACGGCUCACCAAGGCGAUGACGGGUAGCCGGUCUGAGAGGAUGUCCGGCCACACUGGAACUGAGACACGGUCCAGACACCUACGGGUGGCAGCAGUCGAGAAUCAUUCACAAUGGGGGAAACCCUGAUGGUGCGACGCCGCGUGGGGGAAUGAAGGUCUUCGGAUUGUAAACCCCUGUCAUGUGGGAGCAAAUUAAAAAGAUAGUACCACAAGAGGAAGAGACGGCUAACUCUGUGCCAGCAGCCGCGGUAAUACAGAGGUCUCAAGCGUUGUUCGGAAUCACUGGGCGUAAAGCGUGCGUAGGCUGUUUCGUAAGUCGUGUGUGAAAGGCGCGGGCUCAACCCGCGGACGGCACAUGAUACUGCGAGACUAGAGUAAUGGAGGGGGAACCGGAAUUCUCGGUGUAGCAGUGAAAUGCGUAGAUAUCGAGAGGAACACUCGUGGCGAAGGCGGGUUCCUGGACAUUAACUGACGCUGAGGUACGAAGGCCAGGGGAGCGAAAGGGAUUAGAUACCCCUGUAGUCCUGGCAGUAAACGGUGCACGCUUGGUGUGCGGGGAAUCGACCCCCUGCGUGCCGGAGCUAACGCGUUAAGCGUGCCGCCUGGGGAGUACGGUCGCAAGAUUAAAACUCAAAGAAAUUGACGGGGACCCGCACAAGCGGUGGAGUAUGUGGCUUAAUUCGAUGCAACGCGAAGAACCUUACCUGGGCUUGACAUGUAAUGAACAACAUGUGAAAGCAUGCGACUCUUCGGAGGCGUUACACAGGUGCUGCAUGGCCGUCGUCAGCUCGUGUCGUGAGAUGUUUGGUUAAGUCCAGCAACGAGCGCAACCCCUGUUGCCAGUUACCAGCACGUGAAGGUGGGGACUCUGGCGAGACUGCCCAGAUCAACUGGGAGGAAGGUGGGGACGACGUCAGGUCAGUAUGGCCCUUAUGCCCAGGGCUGCACACGUACUACAAUGCCCAGUACAGAGGGGGCCGAAGCCGCGAGGCGGAGGAAAUCCUGAAAACUGGGCCCAGUUCGGACUGUAGGCUGCAACCCGCCUACACGAAGCCGGAAUCGCUAGUAAUGGCGCAUCAGCUACGGCGCCGUGAAUACGUUCCCGGGUCUUGUACACACCGCCCGUCACAUCAUGGAAGCCGGUCGCACCCGAAGUAUCUGAAGCCAACCGCAAGGAGGCAGGGUCCUAAGGUGAGACUGGUAACUGGGAUG
rnacentral:rRNA from 1 species